UACAGAGGUCUCAAGCGUUGUUCGGAUUCAUUGGGCGUAAAGGGUGCGUAGGCGGUGUCGUAAGUCGGAUGUGAAAUCCCGGGGCUUAACUUCGGAACUGCAUUCGAUACUGCGAUACUCGAGGACUCGAGAGGAGAUUGGAAUUCACGGUGUAGCAGUGAAAUGCGUAGAUAUCGUGAGGAAGACCAGUGGCGAAGGUGGAUCUCUGGAGAGUUCCUGACGCUGAGGCACGAAGGCCAGGGGAGCAAACGGG
rnacentral:rRNA from 1 species